rnacentral:rRNA from 1 species
AACGUAGGUGGCAAGCGUUAUCCGGAUUUACUGGGCGUAAAGCGUGUGCAGGCGGGGGUACAAGUGGUGUAUGAAAUUUCCCAGCUUAACUGGGAAGGGUUAUGCCAGACUGUACUUCUGGAGUGCGAGAGAGGGGCGUGGAAUUCCGGGUGUAGUGGUGAAAUUCGUAGAGAUCGGGAAGAACAUCAGUGGCGAAGGCGGCCUGCUGGGCUGUUGCUGACGCUGAGGCGCGACAGCGUGGGGAGCAAACAGG